rnacentral:rRNA from 1 species
ACACGACUACGAGUUUGAUCCUGGCUCGGAACGAACGCUGGCGGCGUGCUUAACACAUGCAAGUCGAACGUGAAAGGCUUCGGCCGAGUAAAGUGGCGCACGGGUGAGUAACGCGUGGGUAAUCUGCCCUUGGGCGGGGGAUAACCUCUCGAAAGGGGGGCUAAUACCGCAUGAGACCACGGCUUCUCGGGGCUGUGGGAAAAGGUGGGUCGCAAGGCCUGCCACCUGAGGAUGAGCCCGCGUACCAUUAGGUUGUUGGUGGGGUAAUGGCCUACCAAGCCGAAGAUGGUUAGCUGGUCUGAGAGGACGAUCAGCCACACUGGGACUGAGACACGGCCCAGACUCCUACGGGAGGCAGCAGUGGGGAAUAUUGGGCAAUGGACGAAAGUCUGACCCAGCCACGCCGCGUGAAGGAUGACUGCCCUAUGGGUUGUAAACUUCUUUUGUAUGGGAAGAAAAUUCCGAACGUGUUCGGAGCUGACGGUACCAUAAGAAUAAGCAUCGGCUAACUCCGUG